CUAGACUGCAAAUGUAGGCAUUUUUUAUUUUGCUUUGCUCCUCCCAGUAUAGCAGCUGGAAAACUUGAGUCUCUAAGCCAGAGUCUUCAAGGCGUCUGCCAGGGUGGCCUGGGAACAAUGCUGCCCAUCUGGAAGCAGCUCCUCCUGGGUCUGGAUGAUCUGAUGGAUGGGGAGAUCUUUCUAGGAUGUCCAGCUGAGCCUGCUGACAGGGACCCAAUCAAUCACCCCUCUCCUGUCCUCACUGACGGGCGCCCACCACAACUAAGACCCAGAGGUCAAGGGUUCUGUCAAAGCAUAUUCAGCUUUUAACAUUCAUCCCUCGGCCAUAGGCUGCUGCCCAGCCCUUGAGUUUCUGAAUAUUUUGGUAGCUCCAGAGGAAAGAGAAGCAGCUGAUUCAAGUGGUGCAAGCUAGGGAUGACACAGGAGACGAGGUUUUCUGAAAGACCACCCAUAGGGUUCGGAGGGGGCAGACGUCUCUGUGGAAUAAUAAUGGGGUCGUCCUGGGAAAAUUGCCCAUGGAAAGGCCUGUCUGAAAAAAAAAAGAAAAAGAAAAAGAAAAGAAAAUUUGGUCUUGUUUCCGAUCCUUCUCGGAAACAUUCAUCAGGGCGCUCCUGCUGCUCGGACGGGAGCAGUCCCAUCGAGGCCCCGAUCCACUCCCUGGCUGGGUCACUCUGCUGCUGCCAAGACUUUCUGAACUGAGGUCAGGAGGCUGAGGCGCACGGGUUAGAAAAGCAGCUUUUUAUUUGUUUUAUUUUUAAAACAGACUUACAGCCGUGGCUGUGUUUCCCAGAUCUUGAUUAUCUGAUGUUGCAUAGUUGCUUUGAAAUUUCUAGUUCAUUUCACAGUUAAAAUUCGAGUCGUUGCUGUGAUAAUGGUUAUUUCUCUUGACAAGUCACUGUAUGGAACAUAUUAAAUUUAUCAUUAUGUUUGGGCUGCUACUGGGCAAGGCCGUCUGUCUCCGUAGAAAAGCCCAGUAAAUGAGUCACCGUGGUCUCACUCAGGGAAAGCCUCAAUGCUGAUGUCAUUUCCUGAUUGGGUGACACACAUGACACACGAUUCUGAUGAAAUGCGAUGAAAGCGGCUAUCACUGUCCACGUCUUUUAUUCAGGUACUCUAACUGUAUUUCAAAACAACAAAAUUUUCUUCUCUGACUUCUUCUUUUUUUUUUAAUGUUCCCAUUUAUGUCAUCUCUGCAAAGCAAAUGUGUAAACACUCAUUUUCUGUUUAGAAUUACAACUAACACAAAAGAACUACAUUAGUUUUGGUUCCUCAUGGAAGGGGUCAUGCAGAAAUAGUGUUUGGCUAAAGGAGUUCUCAUUAUUCAUUAGACUAAUUGUUUCCCAGAAGUGACAAUAUGUUCACCUGAUUUCAAUUCAUCUGAACUCACGAUUGUUUUUUGAAGAGCUGGACCUGCAAAUGUAAACUUUUCCCAUUUUCCCAUGCGCGCGCUGCCAACAACCUGAGAAUGAAACAAUUGAGCAAAAAUGAUCUGGUCAUUGUCUCGAGCUGGAGAAACACGGACCUGUGUUUACCAUUGUGGACUUUUUUCCAUGUUUGCUGAAUAGAAAUGUUGGCUCCGAUUGAACUCACAGGCAACAUCUUCCAUCAGGAGCCAAUCAUGUCCUGUGUUACUAUGUAUCUGUUGGAGCCAGCUCAGACGGCAUUAGGACAUUGUGAUGAUGACUAUUGCCAAUGGUUUGAGUCAGGCAAGAUUACUUUUAUACUAAGAACUCCUCCCAACAACUGUAACGUCAAUGUUUGUGUUAAAUGCACUUCGUAAUUCCAUUCAAGUCAUUUUUCUCACAGUCUCCGGUGUGUCCAUUUUGGAGAUUGAACCCUAUUUUGCAUUAUCCUAAAAAAUGUAAUGUAAUGACCCCCCCCCCCCCCCCGUUGCCCUGUUGGACCCUGAGGCCCUGCUGCCUCGCUCCAGGUCUGAGCUGCUGGAGAUCCAGUGAUGGAUGUGCCUCAGGGGGGCUCUCUGUGGGAGCCGGGCUUCACACACUCUUUCUGCUCCUCACUGUCCGAGGGGAAGAUGUCAUCCCUCAUGUUUAACCAGAGACAGCAGAGUCGAGCCUGCAGUAGGACACUGUCUUGCAUAUUCAUGAUUUAUUUUUCUUUUUUUCUAGUUUAUAUAACACAAUACUGUUUUAAUCAGCGGCUGCUUCCUAGAGGCAGCAGUUUGAAGCAAAGUUACAGAGGAAGAAGCCGGAGCAGAGAUAACUGAAAACAAAAGAGGAGCAUAAUAAACACUUGGACAUUUUAUUACUUCAACUGCACCACAUCAUUGAUAGCGCCAGGAUUUAAGGCAGUAAAGUUACACUGUGGGUGCCAACUUUAAAUCAAAAUUCUAAGUGUACAUACAGUCUUACUAAUGCACAUCAUCAGCCAGUGAAUUCCAUGUGGUAUUAUGUGUUAAAAUGGUGUAACUUCCCUUUCAGAGUACCCACAUUCCCACAGCUUAGCGACUGUUUUCCACUUCCAACAUACCCCAGAGCAUGUGAGCGAAUGCGUUGCCAUCUUGGGAUGUUGUCAUCAUAUUGAUGUGGUGGCAUACAAUAGAAAUGUUACGCAGCAUUACUGUUAGCAUUUUGAAAUACACUGACAAUGUGUUUUAAACUUAAAAAACUGUCAUUAAAAUGUAAAAUUGCACUUAUUGUUGCUUACAUUUUGUGCUAACUAGACAAGUAACAAAUGGGAAUAAAUAAUUAGUAUGAUAAACACCUUUAUGAGGAGGCUUUCCUUUUCUUCUUCUUCUAGAAUAAUUCAUAUACAUAGUGUAUGAAUGCAAUUUAUCUACCUUUUUUCUUUUUUGCAAAAGUUCUGCUGAGGUAAAUCUUGACAACUUUCUGGACACAAUACUAUAAUUGUCUCAUUUUUAUUUAGUUGAAAGCAUUGUGUAAUCAGUUGUAUGAUGAUUUCAGGGAACUUUGAAAAAAAAAGCCCCUGUCCAGUCAUCACUGUGUGAUGAGGUGCAGCGGUGGGUGGCAGAGAAAGGUUCAGUCGAGCUGAUGUGAGGAAAGAGACGUCAUCUGUGAAUGUGCCUCGAAUUUCAACACAAAGUUAUAGUACCUGAUUGUGUUUACACUGUCACUGAUUUAUUAAGGUCAGCUCGAUUCCUAUAUUACUUGGCCAGUAAUGAAUAAACAAUAUUCAAUGUCUAGUUUGUUUCUUUAAGCUGUCGUGUAUACAGGCCCGGGGGGAGGGGUGUGGACAUACAUCUUCUCAAUAGGCCGUGGUAAUAAUGGACCUGUGACCUCAUGGUCUGAGAAGCCAGAAGCAAAACCACAGUUCCCAGUACCACGACUUGAAUGUACUGACUUUUUUUUUCGUCACUUCGCAUCGGUCUAACAGUAAUGUGACCCAAGUGCUGCAGUGGGUAGCUGACAAGCUGCCUCUGAUUAAUGCAGAAAUCAGAUUAUCUGUCACAUUAAAACAAUCUUGUUUUUUUCUGAGCGUUCGAGUUGUUCCAAAGUGAUUCAGACUCAGAAUGUAGGCUAACACCGUAAUUUAGCUGGUCUUUGCCGGAGGAAGGUACCUUGUCAUAAAAGAUCUUUGAUCUUUGUCUGACAAACACUACAACACAGAUAAUAAUGUAUGAAACAUGCUGAUAAUUAAAGGCACAAGGCGAUCACGUAUUUCUCAGUGUUUUGUUUUUAUUGCAAACAAUAUAAUACAAAAGAUAAGCUUUUAAGACAAUGCCAUGUUUACCUACGGAAACUGCAUUAAGGAGAUGACGAGAUGAGAACUAAUGAUACAGAAUAUAAAAUGAGGAACACAACUUUUUUUUCCAAAAACAAAAAGUAUCCUGUUGAUUCCAGCAAAUUCUUUACAAAAACAGCCGCAGCUUCCAUAUCCAUUAAUUCAUUUGUUAGAAAGGAAAAAAAAAGAGAAAA